CGAGGAUUCGCCAAGAUGGUAAUGCAGCGGAAUUUGACUCCGCCAGUGCUGAAUAAGCGAUCGCAGGUUCGAGCCCUGCAUCCUCGGCCA
rnacentral:tRNA from 1 species